rnacentral:rRNA from 1 species
AGAGUUUGAUCCUGGCUCAGAGCGAACGCUGGCGGCAGGCUUAACACAUGCAAGUCGAGCGGGCGUAGCAAUACGUCAGCGGCAGACGGGUGGGUAACGCGUGGGAACGUACCUUUUGGUUCGGAACAACACAGGGAAACUUGUGCUAAUACCGGAUAAGCCCUUACGGGGAAAGAUUUAUCGCCGAAAGAUCGGCCCGCGUCUGAUUAGCUAGUUGGUGAGGUAACGGCUCACCAAGGCGACGAUCAGUAGCUGGUCUGAGAGGAUGAUCAGCCACAUUGGGACUGAGACACGGCCCAAACUCCUACGGGAGGCAGCAGUGGGGAAUAUUGGACAAUGGGCGCAAGCCUGAUCCAGCCAUGCCGCGUGAGUGAUGAAGGCCCUAGGGUUGUAAAGCUCUUUUGUGCGGGAAGAUAAUGACGGUACCGCAAGAAUAAGCCCCGGCUAACUUCGUGCCAGCAGCCGCGGUAAUACGAAGGGGGCUAGCGUUGCUCGGAAUUACUGGGCGUAAAGCGCGCGUAGGCGGACCUGCAAGUCGGGG